rnacentral:lncRNA from 1 species
CAUCAACCCCUGUCACCCCUAAGGCAGAAUCAAGAUGGUACAACGGAACGGGUAAGUACCGGCUCGUAAAACGCUAAGCGGGGGUUUGCGAGCAUUUGGAACACAGAGGGAAGGCUUUUUAACACGCAGGGCUGCACGUCCGCCGCCGGAGAUCCCUUACCUCUGCGACUGGCACAGCACACAGGGCGGCUCCCAGCCCUGCGCCCACCGCGCGGCGCCACCGCCCGCUCCCACCAGGAAGGCCGCGUCUGCCGGUGCCGGCCAGAGCGGGGAGGCCGUGCCUGGGCAUGCGAGAAACAGUGAGCACAGAAACACCAGAGCAGGGAUCAUCUGCUGCAGCUGGGGAAGGGGACCGUGAACCGGCGAUGUUCUGGAAUAACAGCGAGUGGCCGUACUGGUUAUUAUCGUGACGGUGAGGUAUAAAGGCGAGAAACAACAGCUGGGCGCGGGGGGCACCGCCGCCCCAACCCGGCCGCCCGUAACCGCGGUACCUCAGGAGAGAGCACCAACCCCGCAGCCAGAAGGACCGCGCCGCCAUCUUGGGAGUGGGCGGUACGCCGGAAGUGACGCCAUGCUGGGAGGGUGGUCCGGAUCGGCGCGUGCGCAGAGGGCGGGCACGUGGGGAGGGCGCGAGGCGCGGCCGUUGGGUUAACGGUCGCUGUGAGGGGCGGCGGCGCUGGGAGGCGACCAACGGUCGUUGGCGCCGCGCGGGAACGCUGUUGCCGCGCUCAGCCCUCAGCCUCGCGGCUCGCACAGGCUCGGCUUCCAUCUGCUUUGGUCCACUUCAUCUUUACUUUUCCGGAAGUUGGUGCAGGAGGAAGGAGGUGCCAUCCUGUGUGCUGAGCAGAUGUGUGGGACGAGCUGUGCAGUGGAGCCAGGUGCUUCUGGCCAGCCAAGGACUGCAGGAGCGGGGAAGGAGUUGUCAUUUGAGCACCAAGAAAUACGUCGUCCAGCCAGCAAGCAGCAGUGCUCCCACCAGCACGGUGUAGCUGAACAGCACAAACGCCAGCAGCUCCCGCAGAACCUUGAGGAAGUGGAUUGCAAAGGAGUCCGGCAUCGUUCCCCACAGUACUGCAGUGCAGGUAGGCUGUCUGGGGAUGGCUGCAGCCGUGCUGCUCCCUGCUCUGUGCAAAGGAAAACCAGAAGGAUAGAAUGAGUCUUUCCCAGCAGGAUAGUGGAGCUCUGCUUUAGGGAGAAGCCGUUGUGUUCAGGAGAGUUAACAGCCACCCAUCCUUCUAAGAAAGUUGUUAAUUACUGAGGUUUAAGUGUCACAUUGGACUUGUGCAAGCUUGUUCAGGUCUUUGCAGGGUUACCAAGCUGUGCAGUGUUGACAAGGAGUUAGGGAUCUGAUCAAAGUCUCUAAAUCAGGACUGGUAUCUAAGCAAAUUAAAAUACAGAUGCAUGUAUGGUGUACUCUGUUGUGCAGGCAUGGAGCAGUGGCCCCAGUUCUGCUAGAUCCCAGUAUCUUUCCCCUAUGUCCAGUGGCUGUGCAUCCAGGAAGCUUCACAUACAGAGCAUUCACUGAUGAUGUAUUACCAACAGUGUGUUCUGAUCAAAGUGGUCAAUGCCUUCAAGGAAGCCACCAUUAAUAUUUAAUGAUAUAAUUGCAUCUUAAUGGAGA